GAUGAACGCUAGCGACAGGCCUAACACAUGCAAGUCGAGGGGUAGAGAAGAGCUUGCUUUUCUUGAGACCGGCGCACGGGUGAGUAACGCGUAUGCAACCUGGCCGUAAGAGGGGGAUAGCCUCUCGAAAGAGAGAUUAACACCGCAUAAUACUAAUUAAUGGCAUCAUUUAUUAGUUAAAUAUUUAUAGCUUACGGAUGGGCAUGCGUCUGAUUAGUUUGUUGGUAGGGUAACGGCCUACCAAGACUACGAUCAGUAGGGGUUCUGAGAGGAAGGUCCCCCACACUGGUACUGAGACACGGACCAGACUCCUACGGGAGGCAGCAGUGGGGAAUUUUGGACAAUGGGCGCAAGCCUGAUCCAGCAAUGCCGCGUGCAGGAAGAAGGCCUUCGGGUUGUAAACUGCUUUUGUACGGAACGAAAAGG
rnacentral:rRNA from 1 species